rnacentral:lncRNA from 1 species
GCAGCACAACAUCAAGAUGCAGUCCGCGAAAGCGAUUGAGGCGAAUGGCAAUGAGUCAAUCUUGCCACUGCUGGUGGCAAGAUUGUUCCACCUUUGGAAGAGACGCAGAAAAUUUUAAAGAAACUGGAGAUGCUGGAGAGCAUCGGUUGCGAGGAGCUCUUGCUAUGUGACGACUCGUCCAACAGCCUGAUGUGUUCGAGGAAGAUGGCGACCUGGUCUUCAUGGUGCAGUGCCAGUCCAGGAUGCUGAAAUACUCCAUAGCACCUUGCUGGUGAUCAGGCGGUCCUUUUCGGAUAAGAUGUCGUCGUUGGAUAUCGGCAACCCUUCGGCGGCGGCAGCCCCGGCGCCAACCACUGCUGCAUUACCAGCGGCCGUUGACGUCUGCGACACACAAGCCUUGUCGGUGUGGUUUGGCUUGGCUUGGCGAGCAUCAACCCUUGUGCGCUGGCAUGCCCCGGACAGCGGUGCUCCUGCUGUGCAGCCGGCACCAACUGCUGCGCAACCAGCAAGGAGUGUCGCUGCAAACGGUGCCACAACUCUGCCAACAAAAUCUGAGUCUAGGCUCUGGAGGCUUCGUGGCCGUCACCCAUUCGCAAUGUGGGAGCUGACUGCAAGCCGUCCUCCGAGCCACGGACGCACGUGGUGAAUAUCGUGCAGUUGGACUGUCACACACCCCGUGAACGCCGGUUGUGGUCCAGACAGUCUGAGCCCAGUAUUAUCACAACACAUUAAAAUAUAUUCUUCAAACAAGGCAGUUACAUACACACGUGCACACUUCGGCUAGACACAUCACAGUACAAUUCAGAUGGGUAUUAGCAAAAUACUGGAAAAUAACAAGCACUAAGAGUAGGGAUAGGCGAAUAGUGAAUCUGAGGCUCGAAGCGAAUAGUGAUUUGGUCGAAUAAUUUCUAAUCGAAUAGUA